CCCUACGGGACGCAGCAGUGGGGAAUAUUGCACAAUGGGGGAAACCCUGAUGCAGCGACGCCGCGUGAGUGAAGAAGUAUUUCGGUAUGUAAAGCUCUAUCAGCAGGGAAGAAAAUGACGGUACCUGACUAAGAAGCCCCGGCUAACUACGUGCCAGCAGCCGCGGUAAUACGUAGGGGGCAAGCGUUAUCCGGAUUUACUGGGUGUAAAGGGAGCGUAGACGGCAUGGCAAGUCAGAUGUGAAAGCCCGGGGCUCAACCCCG
rnacentral:rRNA from 1 species